rnacentral:rRNA from 1 species
GAUGAACGCUGACAGAAUGCUUAACACAUGCAAGUCAACUUGAAUUUGGGUUUUUAACUUAGAUUUGGGUGGCGGACGGGUGAGUAACGCGUAAAGAACUUGCCUCACAGCUAGGGACAACAUUUAGAAAUGAAUGCUAAUACCUGAUAUUAUGAUUUUAAGGCAUCUUAGAAUUAUGAAAGCUAUAAGCACUGUGAGAGAGCUUUGCGUCCCAUUAGCUAGUUGGAGAGGUAACAGCUCACCAAGGCGAUGAUGGGUAGCCGGCCUGAGAGGGUGAACGGCCACAAGGGGACUGAGACACGGCCCUUACUCCUACGGGAGGCAGCAGUGGGGAAUAUUGGACAAUGGACCGAGAGUCUGAUCCAGCAAUUCUGUGUGCACGAUGAAGUUCUUCGGAAUGUAAAGUGCUUUCAGUUGGGAAGAAACAAAUGACGGUACCAACAGAAGAAGUGACGGCUAAAUACGUGCCAGCAGCCGCGGUAAUACGUAUGUCACGAGCGUUAUCCGGAUUUAUUGGGCGUAAAGCGCGUCUAGGUGGUUAUGUAAGUCUGAUGUGAAAAUGCAGGGCUCAACUCUGUAUUGCGUUGGAAACUGUAUAACUAGAGUACUGGAGAGGUAAGCGGAACUACAAGUGUAGAGGUGAAAUUCGUAGAUAUUUGUAGGAAUGCCGAUGGGGAAGCCAGCUUACUGGACAGAUACUGACGCUAAAGCGCGAAAGCGUGGGUAGCAAACAGG